AGGAAAUGUUACAACAUUAUUUUGGAUAAAGCUGCGUUAAGGAGUCCGGCAUCCCUGCACGCACGCGGGAUCGGUUGACGUGGAUCACGCUGCAUCAUUUAUCUUCCCAUGGCUAUGAAGAUCGGCAGAUGAACAAGCGACGACUCUGUCAGCUGACUGGCAUCCAGGAUGAUUUGCGGGCAAGUUUUGCGGCCAUGAAGGCCAUCGCCAUAGCCACCAAACUGAAUCCCCAACAGCGUGCGGAAACAAUCAAGGGUAUUUUAAAUGACCUUGACCGAGGCCAAGAGGCCCAGAAAAUUCUACAGACGUUCGGCAUCAAAAUUAGUAAAGAAUUGCUACGUAUGCCUGGGCGAGUGUUACAGCGCGAACAGCUUUAUCUGUGGUCAAUCACCAAAUCCCGUUACUGUUCCGGAAAACGGCGACUGGACGCGUAAUACGACCGGUGGAAAGCUUAUGGA